CGCUUCCGAGGAGCGUUGCGACGGUUUCCGCUGCAGGAAAUCGCCAGGCUCGGAGCAUUCAAUCCGGACGGUUCGAAAGCGCGAUCAGCGCACUCUGAGCCGCCGCAUCGAACGGCGCUCACGUCAA
rnacentral:ncRNA from 2 species